UACGUAGGGUGCAAGCGUUAAUCGGAAUUACUGGGCGUAAAGCGCACGUAGGCGGCUUUGCAAGUCAGGUGUGAAAUCCCCGGGCUUAACCUGGGAACUGCAUUUGAGACUGCAUUGCUAGAGUAUGGGAGAGGGAAGUGGAAUUUCAGGUGUAGCGGUGAAAUGCGUAGAUAUCUGAAGGAACAUCAGUGGCGAAAGCGACUUCCUGGACCAAUACUGACGCUCAUGUGCGAAAGCGUGGGGAGCAAACAGG
rnacentral:rRNA from 1 species